GCANNCUUACGNUCUGGGNCACUCNUCUANACAUGCAAGUCGAACGAUGAAGCCCUUCGGGGUGGAUUAGUGGCGAACGGGUGAGUAACACGUGGGCAAUCUGCCCUUCACUCUGGGACAAGCCCUGGAAACGGGGUCUAAUACCGGAUAACACCUGCCCGGGCAUCUGGGUGGGUUAAAAGCUCCGGCGGUGAAGGAUGAGCCCGCGGCCUAUCAGCUUGUUGGUGAGGUAGUGGCUCACCAAGGCGACGACGGGUAGCCGGCCUGAGAGGGCGACCGGCCACACUGGGACUGAGACACGGCCCAGACUCCUACGGGAGGCAGCAGUGGGGAAUAUUGCACAAUGGGCGAAAGCCUGAUGCAGCGACGCCGCGUGAGGGAUGACGGCCUUCGGGUUGUAAACCUCUUUCAGCAGGGAAGAAGCGAAAGUGACGGUACCUGCAGAAGAAGCGCCGGCUAACUACGUGCCAGCAGCCGCGGUAAUACGUAGGGCGCAAGCGUUGUCCGGAAUUAUUGGGCGUAAAGAGCUCGUAGGCGGCUUGUCACGUCGGGUGUGAAAGCCCGGGGCUUAACCCCGGGUCUGCAUUCGAUACGGGCUAGCUAGAGUGUGGUAGGGGAGAUCGGAAUUCCUGGUGUAGCGGUGAAAUGCGCAGAUAUCAGGAGGAACACCGGUGGCGAAGGCGGAUCUCUGGGCCAUUACUGACGCUGAGGAGCGAAAGCGUGGGGAGCGAACAGGAUUAGAUACCCUGGUAGUCCACGCCGUAAACNGUGGGAACUAGGUGUUGGCGACAUUCCACGUCGUCGGUGCCGCAGCUAACGCAUUAAGUUCCCCNCCUGGGGANUACNGGCCCAAGGNUNAAACUCAAAGGAAUUGACGGGGGCCCNCNCAANCAGCGGAACUGGGGNUUNAUUC
rnacentral:rRNA from 1 species